rnacentral:rRNA from 1 species
GAUGAACGCUGGCGGCGUGCUUAACACAUGCAAGUCGAACGAAGCACUUUAUUUGAUUUCCUUCGGGACUGAUUAUUUUGUGACUGAGUGGCGGACGGGUGAGUAACGCGUGGGUAACCUGCCUUGUACAGGGGGAUAACAGUUGGAAACGGCUGCUAAUACCGCAUAAGCGCACAGCAUCGCAUGAUGCAGUGUGAAAAAGUCCGGUGGUAUAAGAUGGACCCGCGUUGGAUUAGCUAGUCGGUGAGGUAACGGCCCACCAAGGCGACGAUCCAUAGCCGACCUGAGAGGGUGACCGGACACAUUGGGACUGAGACGCGGCGCAAACUCCUACGGGAGGCAGCAGUGGGGAAUAUUGCACAACGGGCGAAAGCCUGAUGCAGCGACGCCGCGUGAGCGAAGAAGUAUUUCGGUAUGUAAAGCUCUAUCAGCAGGGAAGAUAAUGACGGUACCUGACUAAGAAGCACCGGCUAAAUACGUG